rnacentral:rRNA from 1 species
AUUGAACGCUGGUGGCAGGCCUAACACAUGCAAGUCGAACGGUAACAGGAAGAAGCUUGCUUCUUUGCUGACGAGUGGCGGACGGGUGGGUAAUGUCUGGGAAACUGCCUGAUGGAGGGGGAUAACUACUGGAAACGGUAGCUAAUACCGCAUAACGUCGCAAGACCAAAGAGGGGGACCUUCGGGCAUCUUGCCAUCGGAUGUGCCCAGGUGGGAUUAGCUAGUUGGUGGGGUAACGGCUCACCAAGGCGACGAUCCCUAGCUGGUCUGAGAGGAUGACCAGCCACACUGGAACUGAGACACGGUCCAGACUCCUACGGGAGGCAGCAGUGGGGAAUAUUGCACAAUGGGCGCAAGCCUGAUGCAGCCAUGCCGCGUGUAUGAAGAAGGCCUUCGGGUUGUAAAGUACUUUCAGCGGGGAGGAAGGGAGUAAAGUUAAUACCUUUGCUCAUUGACGUUACCCGCAGAAGAAGCACCGGCUAACUCCGUGCCAGCCGCCGCCGUAA